rnacentral:lncRNA from 1 species
GGAUAAAAGGAGGUCUAAGGCCCCCCAGUGUGGUUUUCUGGAGGCAGCCUUAGUCUCAGUUACAAUCAAUAAUUACUCCAAAAUGCAGCCAGCUGGUAAAAAUGCAAACGUUUAUUUCUCCCUCCAAAUUAGCCCGGUUAGUUGAGGCCUAACUCUCUGCCUGGCUCCAAGAGCCCUUGCAGCUUUGUCCUUGGCUUCUGCCUCUGCUUUCUUCAGCCUCCAGCCAGCACCAAGGUAGAAGAUGCAAUGGAUCUCUCUUGCCUCAAAGAUAGGGCUUGUAGGCUUUCUUCCAGAGUGUUCCGCUCUGACCCCAGUCAACAUUCCCCCCAAACCCCCUUGAGUCGCUCACUGGAGCUGUAUUUAUGCUACUUCUCUGAGAGUGGGAUUGUGGGAUAUCUCCCAGCAUGCUCUCUGAAAUCUCCCAAGCAUGUGAACUCCAUUGAGUUCUUAGAUACUUAUGAGCUCUCCAAAGGUGUGAACACAAGCAUUGUUUCCAUCAGUUGUACUUAGUACCUAGUUCAAGUUCUGGCCCAAAAUAACUCUUUCUAAGAUCAAAUCAACUCCAAUGGCUUAACACUUUGUAAAGAUUCCAACACUCCAGAAAAACACUGGUAAAGCCAUGUGGAGGCAGGGCACCGGGGAGGCUGUGAGUGCCCACGGGCUUGCCCAGGGAGCUGGGCUCUGUCCGGGGUAGCCAUGUGCCCAAGGCUGCGCCAGCAUCUGCUUAGGUUCACCUCCCAGGGCAUGGGCACGGGGGGGGGGGAGCGGGGUGCACCCCCAACACUUGACUCCGGGUGGGGGCUCCGCCCACUGGCACGAGCCCCUUCUAAAGUAGUCGGGCCCCGGGGCGCUGAGGGUUGGGCCCCCACGUGUGACUUCACUACUUCUCUCAACAAGGGCCCAAAGGACCGAGGGCCGGUAUCUGAAUAGUCCCCCCCAGCAGGCCCCUGGUUCCAGGGCUGACCUUGAUGGCUGGAGGCAGUCCUCCCCAAGCCCUCCGAGACAGUCACAAGAAAUCCCCAGAGAAGUCAGCCUCCGGCCCUGGCUGAGGGUUUCACUCACUGCCCCAAAGCCCGGCCCUGACAGGGGCCCUUCUGCCGCCUCCCCCACGGCCCCUUCAAUAUGGCCUCAGACAGGGACCAGCUGUGAGACCCUGCACGGGCCCUGACUUGUUUGCCUCAGUUUCCUCAGCUGUAAAGUGGAGAUCCUGACCACGCCAUGUCCCAGGGUUGUGAGGCUCCAGGGAGAUCAUGUUUGUAAAGUCCCGUUACAGCCGCCCUUUAAGCCCACUAUUAUCAUUAUACCCAGACCCCUCUGGGGCUGCCCCCAUCCAGCCGCCCUGCAGCCCAGCCUCCCCCCCACCCCGCCCUGUGUCCCCGUGUCCGGGACUGGCUUUUCACUGACCUCGCGGAGCCCGGUCCGCACUGACCACAGGAUGGGGCCACGCAGGGGCUUUUGGCCCUCAGGCCUCCUCCACAUUCAGGACUGAGCCUUUGGGAGCCCAAGAUUUAGGAGGCUUCAGACAAAGGCCUCCUCCCGGUGGGAGUCUCUGGGGAAUGGCCCAUUGUCCCUGCUGGGGCAGGUGUUCUGGGAGGCUCUAGGAGCACUUGGAGCCUCUGGGAGCACUCGGAGCCUCUGGGAGCAACCCUAACCCCCUAGGAGCACUCCCAGCCUCUGGGAGCACCCCUGAGCCUCUGGGAGCACCCCCAGCCUCUGGGAGCACCCUGCCACUUUACAAAACAGCCAACACAUAUUGGCCUAAAUUAAGCCAUCCAUUGCCUGGUUAUAAACAGAUCUCUUUGUAGGGAAGCUCAACCCUUGCGGGAAAGCAGGGGGGGGGAGGGGGGAUGGCCCCCACAUCCCCAGGCUGACAUCCUUCGGCUGCUUCUGGAGAGCCCCCCCCCCCCCACCGGGCACUUCCACCCCUCUGCUCCGAGGCCCUUCUGGCCCUUCUCUGGGCUCUCUCCCCAAAGCUCCCUUUCCCAACAGUCAGUGACUUGUCAGGGGGAGGGGGACAGGAAGGUUCCCCACCCCCACCCCCACUUCCCUCGGAGCAGGGACUCAGAGCAGCGGCAGGGGCAGGGUGACCAUGGAGCCCCUGGGGUGUCCCGGGGGCCUUCCCUGGGCUUCCUCAGAAGCACAGGGCAGGAGGAGGUCCCCGCCCCUCCCUCCCUGAAGGAGAGGGGACCCCAGGUCCCCAGAGUCCCGGCUGCCGGUCCCGGGGGGGGGCUGCCGGCUCCCCUUCCCCACUUCCCAGGUAGCUCCUCUCUCGCCCCCCUCACACGCCCCUUGAUUUUUAAGAAGAAAACGCCACGUCCCCCAAAAGUUCCUAGAGAACCGUCAGACGCGAUGCUGCGGAGGAGGCUCAGGAGGGACCUGGAGGCUCGGGAGGCGGCGCCGGCGCCAGGUGGGGCCGGGGCGCGAGGCUGAGGGGCGUAGCGGGCUCCUCGGCCCCAGAGUCGGUCAGCGAGGCCGGGGCCGGCGCGGGGGGAGCGGCUCCUUCAGCUCCCAGCCUCCCCCAGGCGCCCCGUUACUUAGUGGCUUCAUAAGGGACUGGCAGCCCUAAGCCGGGGCUGGGGGCGGGCGCCCUGCCAGGGGCUCUGGGAGGCGAGAAGCCUCUGGGGGCCCGGCCCGGCCGGACAAGGGCUCGGGAAAGGGGAAGGCCGGGCUUCUGGAGGGGAGCGGGAAGGCCUUUUAGGGGAGGCCCAGAUUCCAGGUUAGGAGCUGCUGGGAGGAGGAGAAGGAGCCUGGCCAGGCCCGGGCAGCAGGGAGCUCCGUGCGGCCGGUGGCGAUCCUCCUGGAUCCCGCCGGAUCCCACUGGGUCCCAUCAGAUCCCACCGGGUCCCGCCAGAUCCCACCGGGUCCCGCCAGAUCCCACCGGGUCCCGCCAGAUCCCACCGGGUCCCGCCAGAUCCCACCGGGUCCCGCCAGAUCCCACAGGGUCCAGUUGGGCUCGGGCUGAGUGUCUGCGGUUGUCUCAGAGAUAGCCAUCCGAGGGUGGAGAGAACCUCCUCAGGAAGCCCACCCCUCAGGGCCAGUCUCACCUCCUUAAAAGGGCAAUGCUCACUGGGGCCAGUCUCACCACAUGGAAGGGGUUAAGCCCUCUGGAGCCAGUCUCACUUCCUUAAAGGGGCCACGCCCUCUGGGGCCAGUGUCACCUCCUGGAAGGGGCCACGCCCUCUGGGGCCAGUCUGAUCUCCAUAAAGGGGCCACACCCUCUGGGGCCAGUGUCACCUCCUGGAAGGGGCGCCACGCCCUCUCAGACCGGUCUCACCUCCUUUAAAGGGCAAGGUCCUCUGAGGCCAGUCUGACCUCCUGUAGGGGGCCACGCCCUCUUGGGUCAGUCCCACCCAAUAGAUGGGGCCACGCCCUCUGGAGCUAGUCUCUACUCCUUAAAAAGGCAAUGCCCUCUGGGGCUAGUCUCCCCUUCUGGAAAGUGCCACCCUCUCUGGCGUCAAUCGCACCUUGGAAUGGGCCACGUGGGGCUGGUCUCAUUUCCUCCUGUAUGGGGCCACGCCCUGUGGGAUAGUGUCAUCUCCUCUCCGGGGGUCACACCCUGUAUCAAAAUGAGCCGGUGGAGAAAAGAUGCUGAGGGCUGCGGAAUGGCCUUUCCAUCCCUCUUCUGACUGCAGGCAGGGAAUUCAGAGCAGAAAUCAGGGAAGGCUGGCUUUUGGGCUCCCUUUUUAGGGGGUGCUCAUAGGUUGGGGUGAGGGGAUGGUCAAACAGCCUUCCACUUGGGUAGGUGGCACCGUGGCAACGGAUGAUGGCGCUUUGCAGAUGGGGAUUCCCAUUUUGAUUCCCAGGAGAGCGAUCCUGGGAUGGACAGAGACCACAACAAAUGGUGAAGGGGCAGAGUCCCAAGGUCUCGGUGUAAAUGAUGGAGCUUCUUCAGAGUGGGCCAGCUCUGCACCAUCGGCUCCUUUUGCCGGGUCACUCGGGCAAUCAGUAUUUAUUAAGCACCUACUGUGUGUGACAGGUCUCUGAUAAGUGCAAUUACUUUCCAAGGGGUAGAAAGAACUGACAGGAAAGAUUGAUGGCCGCGUUGCUGCCAAUGAUUGGUGACGAGAGAGUCGCCAUGAGGUUGGAGAAGGACGGGUCACUCCGAUGGUCAGAAAGGAUCUGUAGGCCAGAAAGCUGGGCUCCCCCUCCUGCUGAUCAUGCUCUUGUAGGGUUGGCGGGGACAGCAAAGGGAAGCUCUUUUUAUUUGCCACCAUUUGCACAGCUCACACUAGGUGAACAAAAUAUCAUUAGACAAGAAGAUGAUAGGACAUUCAGGUGGAGCUAAAAAUUAAUUUCUCCUGGGGUCAUGUAGGGGGAAGAGAGAGAGAGAGAGAGAGAGAGAGAGAGAGAGAGAGAGAGAGAGAGAGAGAAAGAAAAAGAGAGAGAGACAGAGACAAAGAGAGACACAGAGACACAAAAAGGAAGAGAGAGGAGAGGGACAGAGAAUGUGAAGAUGGAGGAGAAAAACAGUAUUAAAAGAAGAGAAAAGGAGAAAAAAAGAGGGAGACAAGGAAGGGCAGAAGGAGAGAUAGAGGAGAGAAAGAAAGAGAGGAGGGAGAGAAUGAAAGAAGUGAAGGAAGGGAAUAGAGAGCCAGGGAGGGGGAGAGAGACAGAAAGGAGAAGGAAGAGGAGAAAUGGAGACAGAACUACAGCCUCACUUUACUCCUUCUCAGUUCCCCCGCAAGCCCAUCUUCUGACAGAGUUCCUCUCCAAGCCAGAGAACGCAACAAAACCACUGUUGCUGCCCCUUACCCCCUCCUACCUCCAGCCUUCCAUGUUUGUGGCUGUCUGCUUCUUGAGAAAGGCUCUCCCCAUCACCCUCGCAGGGGACUUGGCUCAUCCUCCGAGCCAGAUGGCUCUCUCUGGCCAAGAGAAUCCCUGGCCCUGGCCCAGCCUCCAAGGUCUUUCUGCUUUUCCUUCGAGGCCCAGGGGGCGGGCCUGGAGGCACUCUCUGCAUGAUGGGCACAGGGGGCAGGGGCCCUUCCUUGCCUCAGUUGUGGGCCUGGAAUCCUGGGCUGCUCUCAAUGGCUGUCGGUGCUUGUGAGCACCCGCUCCUGGAACCCCAACUGGGUGCGUGCCCCUGUCUUAGGGGCUGUGUUCAGGGGGAGACUCCCACCUUUGGCCCAAGCCCGGCAGCCCCCUCCGGUGCAGCUCCGAGAAAGCGCCAUCUUGGAAGCACGUUUGAGCUUGGUCUGGACUAAGCACCCGCCGGGCCGGGCAAAGAGCCAGAGGCGGCGAGAGGCCGCAGACUCAGGCCUUGGGAGGUCAGCCUCCUCCUGGACGGCCUUGGGCGGGCUCCCGGCUCGGGGCCCAGGAGACCUCACGCCUCUGCCCGCCGCUCAGAGGGGCAAGGCCUAGGGUUACAGAACAUGGCACCGGGCCGUUAAUGCCCAGGCAGGGGCGGGCGGCCGCGGGCGACCCCCAGUGCCAGGGAGACACUGAGCGCCCCGGGGCUCACCGGGCUCCGGCACAUCUGCAGCGUCGCUCAGCGCUCCGGCCCUACAGGGUGAGAGCGUCUCUGCGCAAAGGGCUCCUUGUAAACCCGUUCUGCCUCUGCCUUUGGCGCAGCAGCAGGGGUGGGGACUCUCCCAUUGCCCCCAGGCUUCUCUAUCUCCCUCCGCAGACGAGCCGGGUCCUGCCCCGUGUCCCGGGGCCCGCCGGGAGCCCCAAGCGCCCCAGCCCGGACUCCCAGCUGCCCGCGGCCGGCGGGGCCCCCUCCCUCCCCUCGCCUUAACUUCCCUAAGCUUCUGCUUUCUGGGGGUCCCGGGAUGCCCAGAUUUCACCUCGGGCUACGCCCCUCAAUCCUCCCCCAAAGACUCGCUACUAACAAGCUCUAACCUGGGCGGCCCCACCCCGCCCGGCCCGGCCCGGCCCGGCCCGGUUAACUGGUUCCGGCCACUUUUUGUCCAGGGAAUUUUUUCCUUACGCCCAGUCGCCCCCCCCCCCCGAAACCGAAGUAAAAGGGCCCCCCAGGGAGGGAGAGGGGGCCUGCGGAGGGUCGUGCUUCUGGGGCGGGGCCCCACCGCUGCCUCCCGGAGCCGGAGCAUCAGGGAACCUGGCCAGGCCCAGAGCCUGGCGCCUCCCCGCAGGGGCCCAGCUUCCCGGCCCUCCCGGGCCCUCCGGCGCUCCCUGCCCAGCGUCUCCCGGGCUGCGCCGCCCCCUCCGGCCCCACGCGGGCCCCGGCUCCAGACCUUCCUCACGCCUCCGCGCAGGGCUGGGGGAAGUGGGGGCGGCGGAGGGGAGGGCGGCCAGCAGCCUCGGCCCCACCUGGCUCCCUCCCCCAGCCUGGCUCCCUCCCCCACCCCUGGCUCCCUGCCCCCACCCCUGGCUCCCUGCCCCCAGCCUGGCUCCCUCCCCUGCCGCGGUUUCCGUUUCGGAGGGAGCGAAAGUGAAAGAGGAGCGGCUCCGGGGCGGGGCGGGAGGGAGUGGGACCGGCCGGGCCGCGGGCAGUGCGGCAGACCCAGGGACCCACGGACGGGGCGGCCCAGGAGCGUCCUCCCGCGGCCCCGCGGACUGUUAGACGGCCGCCGGCCUGCGGGGCCAUGGGAGUCCCGGGCCUGGGCGCCCUGAUGCUCUGCUGGGCCGCGGCCACCUGCGCCGGUGAGCGCCGCUGCGGGGGGUGGUGGGGAGGGGCCGGGAGGUGUGUGCGCGCGAGUGUGUGAGUGUGAGGGGGUGUGUGUGUGUGUGUGAGUGAGUGACUAAGUGUGUGUGUGUGAGUGGGUAUAAGUUAUGUGAGUGUGUGUGUGAGUGUAAGUGACUAAGUGUGUGCGAGUGUGCGAGUGUGUGUGUGAGUGUGUGUGACUAAGUGUGUGUGUGUGAGUGGGUAUAAGUUAUGUGAGUGUGUGUGUGAGUGUAAGUGACUAAGUGUGUGCGAGUGUGUGUGUGAGUGUGUGUGUGUGGGUGUGUGUGUGUGUGAGUGGGUAUAAGUUAUGUGAGUGUGUGUGUGAGUGUGGUGACUUGUUGCAAAUUUUGUGUGUGUAGGGUGUGCCUGAGUGUGUGACUAAGUGUGUGUGUGAGUGGGUAUGUUAUGUGAGUGUGUGUGUGUAAGUGACUAAGUGUGUGCGAGUGUGUGUGUGAGUGUGUGUGAGUGUGUGUGUGACUAAGUGUGUGUGUGUGUGAGUGGGUAUAAGUUAUGUGAGUGCGUGUGUGAGUGUAAGUGACUAAGUGUGUGCAAGUGUGUGUGUGUGUGUGACUGGGUGUGCCUGAGUGUAAGUGACUAAGUGUGUGUGUGAGUGAGUGGGUAUAAGUUAUGUGAGUGUGUGUGUGAGUGUAAGUGACUGAGUGUGUGCGAGUGUGUGUGUGAGUGUGUGUGUGUGUGACUAAGUGUGUGUGUGUGUGAGUGGGUAUAAGUUAUGUGAGUGCGUGUGUGAGUGUAAGUGACUAAGUGUGUGCGAGUGUGUGUGUGUGUGUGACUGGGUGUGCCUGAGUGUAAGUGACUAAGUGUGUGUGUGUGAGUGGGUAUAAGUUAUGUGAGUGCGUGUGUGAGUGUAAGUGACUAAGUGUGUGCGAAUGUGUGUGUGUGUGUGUGUGCCUGAGUGUAAGUGACUAAGUGUGUGAGUGUGAGUGGGUAUAAGUUAUGUGAGUGCGUGUGUGAGUGUGUGACUGGGUGUGCCUGAGUGUAAGUGACUAAGUGUGUGUGUGUGAGUGGGUAUAAGUUAUGUGAGUGCGUGUGUGAGUGUAAGUGCGGGGUGUGCG